rnacentral:rRNA from 1 species
GUAGCUUGCUACCUAACCUAGCGGCGGACGGGUGAGUAAUGCUUAGGAAUCUGCCUAUUAGUGGGGGACAACAUUCCGAAAGGAAUGCUAAUACCGCAUACGCCCUACGGGGGAAAGCAGGGGAUCUUCGGACCUUGCGCUAAUAGAUGAGCCUAAGUCAGAUUAGCUAGUUGGCGGGGUAAAGGCCUACCAAGGCGACGAUCUGUAGCGGGUCUGAGAGGAUGAUCCGCCACACUGGGACUGAGACACGGCCCAGACUCCUACGGGAGGCAGCAGUGGGGAAUAUUGGACAAUGGGCGCAAGCCUGAUCCAGCCAUGCCGCGUGUGUGAAGAAGGCCUCUUGGUUGUAAAGCACUUUAAGCGAGGAGGAGGCUACUUGGAUUAAUACUCUAGGAUAGUGGACGUUACUCGCAGAAUAAGCACCGGCUAACUCUGUGCCAGCAGCCGCGGUAAUACAGAGGGUGCGAGCGUUAAUCGGAUUUACUGGGCGUAAAGCGUGCGUAGGCGGCUUUUUAAGUCGGAUGUGAAAUCCCUGAGCUUAACUUAGGAAUUGCAUUCGAUACUGGGAAGCUAGAGUAUGGGAGAGGAUGGUAGAAUUCCAGGUGUAGCGGUGAAAUGCGUAGAGAUCUGGAGGAAUACCGAUGGCGAAGGCAGCCAUCUGGCCUAAUACUGACGCUGAGGUACGAAAGCAUGGGGAGCAAACAGGAUUAGAUACCCUGGUAGUCCAUGCCGUAAACGAUGUCUACUAGCCGUUGGGGCCUUUGAGG